rnacentral:rRNA from 1 species
AGAGUUUGAUCAUGGCUCAGAAUCAACGCUGGCGGCGUGCCUCAGACAUGCAAGUCGAACGAUUAAAGCUCCCUUCGGGGAGUGUAUAAAGUGGCGCACGGGUGAGUAACACGUAAGUAAUCUGCCUUCGAGUGGGGAAUAACGGUCGGAAACGGCCGCUAAUACCGCAUAACGCAGCGGCACCUAAUGGUGACAGUUGUUAAAGGAGCAAUCCGCUUGAAGAGGAGCUUGCGGCAGAUUAGCUAGUUGGUAAGGUAAUGGCUUACCAAGGCUACGAUCUGUAACCGGUCUAAGAGGACGGUCGGUCACACUGACACUGAAUAACGGGUCAGACUCCUACGGGAGGCAGCAGUCGGGAAUUUUGGGCAAUGGGCGAAAGCCUGACCCAGCAACGCCGCGUGAAGGAUGAAGUAUUUCGGUAUGUAAACUUCGAAAGAAUGGGAAGAAUCAAUGACAGUACCAUUUAUAAGGUCCGGCUAACUACGUGCCAGCAGCCGCGGUAAUACGUAGGGACCAAGCGUUGUUCGGAUUUACUGGGCGUAAGGGCGCGUAGGCGGCAAUUCAAGUCAUCUGUGAAAUCUCCGGGCUUAACCCGGAACGGUCAGAUGAUACUGCUUUGCUAGAGUGCGGAAGGGGCAAUCGGAAUUCUUGGUGUAGCGGUGAAAUGCAGAUAUCAAGAGGAACACCUGAGGUGAAGACGGGUUGCUGGGCCGACACUGACGCUGAUAGCGCGAAAGCCAGGGGAGCAAACGGGAUUAGAUACCCUAGUAGUCC